GCAUAUCAAUAAGCGGAGGAAAAGAAACCAACCGGGAUUGCCUCAGUAACGGCGAGUGAAGCGGCAAGAGCUCAAAUUUGAAAGCUGGCUCCUUCGGGGUCCGCAUUGUAAUUUGCAGAGGAUGCUUCGGGUGCGGCCCCUGUCUAAGUGCCCUGGAACGGGCCGUCAGAGAGGGUGAGAAUCCCGUCUGGGAUGGGGUGUCCGCGCCCGUGUGAAGCUCCUUCGACGAGUCGAGUUGUUUGGGAAUGCAGCUCUAAAUGGGUGGUAAAUUUCAUCUAAAGCUAAAUACUGGCCGGAGACCGAUAGCGCACAAGUAGAGUGAUCGAAAGAUGAAAAGCACUUUGAAAAGAGAGUUAAAAAGCACGUGAAAUUGUUGAAAGGGAAGCGCUUGCGACCAGACUCGCCUCCAGGGUUCAGCCGGCAUUCGUGCCGGUGUACUUCCCUGGGGGCGGGCCAGCGUCGGUUUGGGCGGCCGGUCAAAGGCUCCCGGAAUGUAGUGCCCUUCGGGGCACCUUAUAGCCGGGAGUGCAAUGCGGCCAGCCUGGACCGAGGAACGCGCUUCGGCACGGACGCUGGCAUAAUGGUCGCAAACGACCCGUCUUGAAACACGGACC
rnacentral:rRNA from 1 species